CGACCCAGGGUUACACGUCAAGUGCGGCCCGCUCCGCGUACCCAUCGCGCUCCCGUACGAGACCGAGACGGCCGGGGAACGCUCCCAGAUCGCCGCCGCGUAGCCAUCCGCCGCCGGGUUCGACGAGGGAGCCGGGGCACGCAAGGCGGCCUAUAGCCUAUAGAGAGAGUAGUUCGUGGAUUUUCGGGGAUGCGGCCCAGCGGCGCGGCAACGUCGUGGGUUGUGGGGGCGGACGCGCAUCUCUACGACGACCUGGACGCCGCCGCCAUCCCGGCGCUCCUCGGCUCCUGCUUCGACGGCGAUAACGUCGAUGCUCAAGCCUGUACCAGCUCCAGUUCGCCGCGAAAUGCAAUCAGAGUCACCUUGUAGCCUCAUAUCGUGUAGCAUCAACUCGUGGAGACGCCUUUCAUGAUUAUGGCCAUGGUUCUUCCAUCCCACACUUAUCUUCUCAAGGAAAUGCACAUCAGUAUUCUUCAUAUGGUGGUGGAUACCACUAUACCAGAGUGGUAGUACAACAAAAAAGAUUGAUAUCCCAAAUGGAAGGUUGGUGUUAUCAUUGGAAAUGCUGGAGAAACUAUAAAGCAUAUCCAACUUCAUUCAGGGGCAAAGAUCCAAGUAACAAGGGACAUGGAUGUUCAACCCGGGUCACGGACAAGAUUGGCUGAUCUUUCGGGCACUCCUGACCAGAUAAGCAGAGCUGAGCAGUUGAUAAGUGAUGUUUUUGCAGAGGCUGAUGCUGGCUCAUUUGGCACUAUCUCUAGUUGUGUUGAGCAAUUCCAGAUGCAAAUUGCUAACAACAAGGUAAGCUGGCUGCUUUCUUGACGAGAUAGUCAAAGAUGUUCAAUAGAUUGUGAAAAUUUAUAUCUAGUAAAUGAGCAUGGUGGUUAUUAUAUUGGUGGGUAAAUGGAUCUUUAAUAAACUUGAAGCAAUUUGGAUUUAGUUAGGUGAUUAUGAUCUUGAACCAAAUUUCAUGGUGGAUUAUGAGAUUUUGAUGCAUUUAUUUAGUUCAUUUUGAUCUUGAGGAGAUAGUCAAAGAUGUUCGGUGGAUUAAUUAAUCUUGGGCAAUUUGGAUUUAGUUAGGUGAUUGUGAUAUUGAACCAUAUUUAUGAUGGAUUAUGAGAUUUUAGGUGGAUUUAGUUACGUGAUUUAAUCUUGAGAAGAUAGUAAAAAUGUUUUGUGGAUUAUGAGAUUUUAGGUAUGGUAGAUGAGCGUGGUGAUUAUUAUAUUGGUGGAUAAAUAGAUCUUUAAUUUUGUUUGGAACAUUUUGGAUUUAUUUAAGUGAUUGCGAUCUUAAACCAAAUCUCACGGUGGAUUAUGAGGUUUUGAUUGGAUUUUGUUAGGUGACUGUGAUCUUGACGAGCUCGUAAAAGAUGUUCGGUGGAUUAUGUGAAUUUAGGUCUAGUAGGUGAGCAUGGUGGUUAUUAUAUUGGUGAAUAAGUAAACUUGAGAAAAUUUGGAUUUAGUUAGGCGAUUGUGAUCUCGAACCAAAUUUCAUGAUGGAUUACGAGAUUUUAGAAAGAUUUAGUUGGUUGAUUGUGAUCUUGAGGAGAUACUGAAAGAUAUUCGAUGGAUUGAUUAAUCUUGAACAAUUUGGAUUUAUUAGGCUAUUGUGAUAUAGAACCGAAUUUCACAAUGAUUUAUGUGAUUUUAGGUGGAUUUAGUUAAGUUAUUAUGAUCUUGGGAAGAUGGUCAAAGAUGUUGGGUGGAUUUUAAGAUUUUAUGUCUAGUAUGUGAGCAUGAUAACUAUUAUAUUGGUGGAUAAACAGACCUUUAAUUUAGUUUGGUGAUUGUGAUCUUUUAACCAAAUUCACGGUGGAUUUUGAUGUUUGGGUUGGAUUUAGUUAGGUGAUUGUGAUCUUGAUGAGAUAGUCAAAGAUGUUUGAUGGAUUACAACAACAACAACAACAAAGCCUUCAAUCCCAAACAAGUUGGGGUAGGCUAGAGGUGAAACCCAUAAGAUCUCGCAACCAACUCAUGGCUCUGGCACAUGGAUAGCAAGCUUCCACGCACCCUUGUCCAUAGCUAGCUCUUUAGUGAUACUCCAAUCCUUCAGGUCUCUCUUAACGGACUCCUCCCAUGUCAAAUUCGGUCUGCCCCGCCCUCUCUUGACUUCCUCCGCACGCUUUAGCCGUCCGCUAUGCACUGGAGCUUCUGGAGGCCUGCGCUGAAUAUGCCCAAACCAUCUUAGACGAUGUUGGACAAGAUGUUUGAUGGAUUAUGUAAGAAUUUAUGUCUAGUAGUGAGCAUGGUGGUUAUUAUAUUGGUGGAUAAGAUAUUUAGUAAACUUGGAGUAAUUUGGAUUUAGUUAGGCUAGUGUGAUCUUGAACCAAAUUUCAUGGUAAUUACGAAAAUUUUAAAUGGAUUUAAUUAGUUAAUUGAGAUCUUGAGGAGAUAGUCAAAGAUGUUCGAUGGAUUAAUUAAUCAUGAACAAUUUGGACUUAGUUCGGUGAUUGUGACAUUGAACCAAAUUUGUCGGUGAUUUAUUUGAUUGUGGGUGGAUUUACUUAGGUGAUUGUGUCUUGAUAAGAUGGUUAAAAUGUGUGGUGGAUUAUGAGAAUUUAGGUAUGUUAAAUGAGCAUGGUGAUUAUUAUAAGGGAAAUGAUUCCCUUCAACCGACAGAUCUUAUGCGAGCGUCCACCGCCUCCAUGUCUGUUGGAUGGGCUUCAUUAGACAGUCAGGAGCACCUGGUCCAUUGUUUUAGAAAGAGAUUCUACAACUAGCCCCUUUUUGCAAAUCGACUAAGAGCUAAAUCCCACAGGGGCUAGAUCCCGCAACAUGACUUAUGUUGCAAAACAAAUCCCACAACACGACCCAUGCUGCAAAAAAAAAUCUGCAACACAACCCAUGAUGCAAAAUAAAUACCACAAACACAACCUAGUUUGCCAAAAAAAACACAACAUAACCUCUGUUGCAAAUGUCUUCGCAAUAAGACAUCUGUUGUUAAAAAUAUCCAUAGGCCGACGCGUAGCAGGCCCCUUAUUAUAUUGGUGCAUAAACAAAUCUUUAAUUUAGUUUGGAACAAUUUGGAUUUAGUUAGGUGAUUGUGAUCUUUCAACCAAAUUCAUGGUGUAUUUUGCGGUUUUGUUGGAUUUAGUUAGGUGACAGUGAUCUUGACGAGAUAGUCAAAGAUGUUUGGUGAAUUAUGUUAAUUUUGUUCUAGUAAGUGAGCAUGGUGGUUAUUAUAUUGGUGGAUAUUAAUGGAUCUUUAGUAAACAUGGAGCAAUUUGGAUUUAGUUAGGCGAUUGUGAUCUUGAAAAAAAUUCACGGUGGAUUACGAGAUUUUCAAUGGAUUUAUUUAGUAGAUCGUGAUCUUAGGGAGAUGUCAAAGAUGUUCGGUGGAUUAAUUAAUCUUGAACAAUUUGGAUUUAGUUAGGUGAUUGUGAUAUUGAACCAACUCCGCCUAUGUUUUUUCAACAUAGCCGGUCCAAGCCCUGGUAAAGGAGGAGGGUUGUGAUAGGCUUGACGAGCCAACAUAAAAACUCAGUCACUCUUAUGGAGAUGAAACCCAAAAGAUUUUCGUUGGACGUAACCCUCUCAACGACGCGCCACACCGGAACCUGGGUGUGGUGUCAAAUGGGCAAGGGCCGGAUUGUCACCCCUUCGGUGGCAUGCCGUAGCUUGAUCUGGAUACAGUGGCAAGUGAGCGAGGAUCAGGUCGUCGCAUCCUUAGUGGCGCGCUACAUCGGCGCCCUGAUGUAGUGGAAAAUGAGCAAGGGUCUUCACAUUUGACUCAACGAGUGCGAAGGGUAAGGAAGCUAGCCGAGCCUAGUAGGAUCCGCUUAGGUAGCUGGAACGUAGAGUCUCUGACAGGGAAGCUUGGAGAGCUAGUUGAUGCAGCGGUGAGGAGAGGUGUUGAUAUCCUUUGUGUCCAAGAAACCAAAUGGAGGGGACAGAAGGUGAAGGAGGUGUAGGAUACCAGCUUAAGCUGUGGUACACGGGGACAGUUACAAACAGAAAUGGCGUAGGCAUCUUGAUCAACAAGAGCCUCAAGUAUGGAGUGGUAGACGUCAAGAGAUGUGGGGACAUGAUUAUCCUGGUCAAGCUGUUAGCUGGGGACUUAGUUCUCAAUGUUAUUAGCGCAUAUGCCCUGCAAGUAGGCCACAAUGAGAACACCAAGAGGGAGUUCUGGGAAGGCCUGGAAGACAUGGUCAGGAGUGUACCGAUUGGCGAGAAGCUCUUCAUAGGAGACCCUCAAUGUCCACGUGGGUACAUCUAACACAGAUUUUGAAGGGGUGCAUGGGGGCUUUGGCUAUGGCAUCAGGAAUCAAGGAGAAGAUGUCUUAAGCUUUGCUCUAGCCUACGACAUGAUCGUAGCUAACACCCUCUUUAAAAAGAGAGAAUCACAUCGAGUUGCUUUUAGUAGUGGUCAACACUCUAGCCAGAUUGAUUUCAUCCUCUCGAGAAGAGAAGAUAGGCGUGCGUGCUAGUCAAAGAUGUCCGGUGUAUUUAUCUAAUCUUCAAUAAUUUGGAUUUAAUUAGGUGAUUGUGAUAUUGAACCAAAUUUCUCCGUGAUUUAUGAGAUUUUAGUUGGAUUUAGUUAGGUGAUUGUGUCUUGAGAAGAUAGUAAAAAAUGUUUGGUGGAUUAUGAGAUUUUAGGUCUAAUAGAUGAGCAUGGUGAUUAUUAUAUUGGUGGAUAAACAUAUAUGUAAUUUAAUUUGGAUUUGUUUAGGUGAUUGUGAUUUUUUAACCUAAUUUUACCGUGGAUUAUAAGGUUUUGGUUGGAUUUAGUUAGGUGAUUAUGAUUUUAACGAGCUAGUAAAAGAUGUUCGGUGCCUUAUGUGAAUUCUGGUUCUAGUAGGUGAGCAUGUUGAUUAUUACAUUGGUGGAUAAAUUGUUCUUCAGUAAACAUGGUGAAAUUUGGAUGAGUUAGGCGAUUGUGAUCUUGAACAAAUUUCAUGGUGGAUUACGAGACUUUCAACAGAUUUCGUUGAUUGUGAUCUUGAGGAGAUAGUUAAAGAUGUUCGGUGGAUUAAUUAAUCUUGAACAAUUUGGAUUUGGUUUUAUGAGAUUUAAGUUGGAUUUUGUUAGGUGACUGUGUCUUGAGAAUAUAAUCAAAGAUUUUUUGAUGGAUGAUGAGAUUUUAGGUGUAAUAGAUGAGCAUGGUGAUUAUUAUAUUGGUGGAUAAACAGAUAUUUAAUAUAAUUGGAACAAUUUGGAUUUAGUUCGGUGGUUUUGAUCUUUUAACCUAAUUUUACGUUGGAUUAUAAGGUUUUGGCUGGAUUUAGUUAGGUGAUUAAUUUUGACAAACUGGUAAAAGAUGUUUGAUGGAUUAUGUGAAUUUAGAUCUAGUAGGUGAGCAUUUUGAUUAUUAUAUUGGUGGAUAGAGAUGAGGGCCACACAAGUGACUUAACGCGAUGAUGCCACUACUGAAAAUAACUAGUAAACAAGGCAAUAAAGGCGGAGAGGCUAGGGGUAGUGGCGGUAGAUGGACUUGACAUCUUACAUGCCUGUGCACUCUCCGUUCCGCACUGGUCUGGCUUGGUGUCCUUGUUCUGUUUGCGGGUUUUGUGUCACGCACUUGAUUAAGCAUCCCACGUUCUCCUACUGUGCGCCCUUGACCUUGACGAUAGGUAGCGCCGUGUUCUCGGGCGUGUCUCGUGGGUAAAAUCCAGGUAUGCGCCGAUUGUCCGAGCUCUUGCUCGCCAUUGGUGGUGCUUGAGCGUGUGGUUAUGGUGGCAUCCAGCAAGGGAACAAGGGAUGUGGGAUCAAGACAGCACACAUAGCAACCCGCCACCAGGCAAUGGAUGCCCAUCCGGACUUCCAGGGAGCGAAGGUGGACACAAAGGUGGAUGUUGAGCUCCAUAGCAGUCUCAAUAGUGUGCUAAUCAAUAAGAGCAGCACAAGCAAGAAGAUCCUGAAUAUACUUCUCUUAGGAAAUAAAGAAGCCAUUAGAGGUAAAAGAAACCUCAAUCUCAAGGAAGUAGUGACUUCUUUACUCUUUAGUAAACAUGGAGCAAUUUGGAAUUAGUUAGGCAAUUGUGAUCUUGAACAAAUUUCAUGAUGGGUUACGAGAUUUCGUUGAUUGUGAUCUUGAGGAGAUAGUCAAAGAUGCUCGGUGGAUUAUUUAAUCUUGAACAAUUUGGAUUUAGUUAGGUGAUUGUGAUAUUGAAUCAAAUUUCUUUGUGAUUAAUGAGAUUUUAGUUGGAUUUAGUUAGGUGAUUGUGUCUUGAGAAUAUAAUAAUUUUUUUGGUGGAUUAUGAGAUUUUAGGUGUAAUAGAUGAGCAUAGUGAUUAUUAUAUUGGUGGAUAAACAAAUAUUUAAUUUAGUUUGGAACAAUUUGGAUUUAGUUCGGUGAUUCUGAUCUUUCAGCCUAAUUUUACGAUGGAUUAUAUGGUUUUGGUUGGAUUUAGUUAGGUGAUUGUAAUUUUGACAAGUUAGUAAAAGAUGUUCGAUGGAUUAUGUGAAUUUAGGUGAGCAUUUUGAUUAUUAUAUUGGUGGAUAGAGAUGAGGGCCACACAAGUGACUUAAGGCGAUGAUACCACUACUGAAAAUAACUAGUAAACAAGGCAAUAAAGGCGGAGAGACUGGGGGUAGUGGUAGUAGAUGGACUUGACCCAGCAUCUUACGUGCAUGUGGGUCCGGCUUGGUGUCCUUGUCCUGUUUGUGGAUUUUGUGUCACGCACUUGAUUAAGCAUCCCACAUUCCCCUACUGUGCGCCCUUGACCUUGACGAUAGGUAGCGCCGUGUUCUCGGGCACGUCUCGUGGGUAAAAUUCAGGUAUGCGUCGAUUGUCUGAGCUCUUGCUCGCCAUUGUUGGUGCUUGAGCGUGCGGUUAUGGUGGCAUCCAGCAAGGGAACACGGGAUGUGGGAUCAAGACAGCACACAUAGCAACCCGCCACCAGGCAACGGAUGCUCAUCUGGACUUCCAGGGAGCGGAGGUGGACACAAAGGUGGAUGUUGAGCUCCAUAGCAGUCUCAAUAGUGUGCUAAUCAAUAAGAGCAACACAAGCAAGAAGAUCUUGAAUAUACUUCUCUUAGGAAAUAAAGAAGCCAUUAGAGGUAAAAGAAACCUCAAUCUCAAGGAAGUAGCGGCUUCUUUAGUAAACAUGGAGCAAUUUGGAAUUAGUUAGGCGAUUGUGAUCUUGGACAAAUUUCAUGAUGGAUUACGAGAUUUUUCAAUGGAUUUAGUUGAUUGUGAUCUUGAGGAGAUAGUUUUUUUUAACAAUAGUCAAAGAUGUUUGGUGGAUUAAUUAAUCUUGAACUUUGUGAUUAAUGAGAUUUUAGUUGGAUUUAGUUAGGUGAUUGUGUCUUGAGAUGAUAAUCAAAGAUGUUUCGUGGAUUAUGAGAUUUUAGGUCUAGUAGAUGAGCAUGGUGAUUAUUAUAUUGGUGGAUAAAUAGAUAUUUAAUUUAGUUUGGAACAAUUUGAAUUUAGUUAGGUGACUGUGAUCUUUUAACCUAAUUUAUGAUGGAUUAUAAGGUUUUGGUUGGAUUUAGUUAGUUUAUUGUGAUUUGACGAGCUAGUAAAAGAUGUUCGGUGGAUUAUAUGAAUUUAGGUGUACUAGGUGAGCAUGUUGAUUAUUAUAUUAGUGGAUAAAUAAAUCUUUAAUAAAUUUGGAACAAUUUGGAUUUAGUUAGGCGAUUGUGAUCUUGAACCAAAUUUUAUGGUGGACUAGCAAGAUGCCCAUGCGUUGCACGGAAAAUCAAGAUGCAUUUGUACGAGUAGUUUAUCUUGUGGGAGAAAAGGAUGAACGAGGGAAGGCCUUAUUUGCAAAUGUGGAGAGGGGUGUGGGUAUAUUUUUAUAAAAUUGCCAUAGUUUCCUUCCUAUCCGUCGGAUAUAAAUCGGAUGGCCUAUAUUGCAGGAUGGCAGGCACACCAUCAUCACCAACUCUGUUUUCUAUAAGAGUAGAGAUUAGGAGAUUUUUUAUGGACUAGUUAGUUGAUUGUGAUCUUGAGAUAGUCAAAGAUGUUUGGUGGAUUAAUUAAUCUUGAACAAUUUGGAUUUAGUUAGGUGGUUGUGAUACUGAACCAAAUUUCACGCUAGAUUAUGAGAUUUUAGUUGGAUUUAGAUAGGUGAUUGUGUCGUGAGAUGAUAAUCAAAAAUGUUUGGUGGAUUAUGAGAUUUUAGGUCUAGUAGAUGAGCAUGGUGAUUACUAUAUUGGUGAAUAAACAGAUAUUUAAUUUAGUUUGGAACAAUUUGGAUUUAGUUAGGUGAUUGUGAUCUUUUGAGCAAUUUUUACGGUGGAUUAUGAGGUUUUGGUUGGAUAUAGUUAGGUGAUUGGGAUCUUGACAAGCUAGUAAAAGAUGUUCGGUAGAUUAUGUGAAUAUAGGUCUACUAGUAGGUGAGCAUGUUGGUUGUUUUAUUGAUGGAUAAAUAAUUUUUUAAUAAACUUGAAAAAGUUUGAAUUUAGUCAGGCAAUUGUGAUCUUCAACCAAAUUUUAUGAUGGAUUAUGAGAUUUUUGAUGGAUUAGUUAGUUGAUUGUGAUCUUGAGGAUAUAGUCAAAGAUGUUCGGUGUAUUAAUUAAUCUUGAAAAUUUUGGAUUUAGUUAGGUGAUUGUGAUAUUGAACCAAAUUUCUCUGUGAUUUUAGUUGGAUUUAGUUAGGUGGUUGUGUCUUGAGAAGAUAGUCAAAGAUGUUUGGUGGAUUAUGAGAUUUUAGGUCUAAUAGAUGAGCAUGGUGAUCAUUAUGUUGGUGGAUAAAUGAAUCUUUAAUAAAUUUGGAACAAAUUGGAUUUAGUUAGGCGACCGUGAUCUUGAGCCAAACUUUAUGGUGGAUUGUGAGAUUUAGUUCGGCUGCGCUCUGACUCUUCGUCGAGGAGCAUGCACAGUGCGGUGGUGCGGCGGCCUCAGAAGGUGGGGCACCGACACCUGCAGCUUGUGCACGCAUCUCCUGCAUCCCGCAACCUUCUCCUUCCCGGCACAGCAGGAGCAGGAGCAAGGAUGCCGAGGCGGUUCAGGUUGUACACUGUUGAACUGAGAAAGUGUCUCAUUGGGGUGUGGAGUGGGAGAGGAGUGGUAUUUUAUCUAUUCAGUUUCAAGUCAGAUGGAAAAUUUUGUUUCCCUUGGUUAGUAUAUUGCAAGACAGAGCAAAACUUGAUUGUGUAUAUAUUCUGUUUUUAAACAAUUGAUCCUAAGAACGUGGUGUGUUGUAUUUCUUCUUUCAACAAAACCUACUCAGUUACUCCCUCCGUUUCAAAAUAGAUGACUCAACUUUGUAUAAAGUUAGUACAAAAUUGAGUCAUCUAUUUUGGAACGGAGGGAGUACAUUUUACCACAAAGUUGAGAAGUUGAUUAUCCUCUUAUAACGAAAUUGGUGAAAAGCCUGUACACCUAAAUACUUAUUUAGUCGAUCAGGAGUUUCUCAUGCCCAAGAUUAAGCGUGCAUAGGAAAAUUAUUGUUUCCUGCUAAAUGGGGUUAAUUUCAUGCCUUUGUAGGAGAGAGGUGGGCCAAAGAAUUCCAUGUUCAACAGGAUGGUGCAAAAUUUUAGUUGGAGAUAGGCUGUGUAUGGACAUCAGGACAUGCAUGUUGUAGAUCUGCUUAUAAUAAUUUUGUAAUACUCAGAUUUGUUCAGAUUGGCUCAUUUCUUUAAGAAAUAUUAUGUCCCCUGUUUCAUGGCAGAAAAUUUUGAUUGCAUAAUAUUCACCUUCAUAAUAGCCAGUGCCAUCAGGCUGUAUACCUGUAUACCAAAUUAUUUGUUAAUCAUUACACCAUUGUUUUACUCAGUUGCAUUCUUGACUGCAGGUUCUUGACUAGAAAAAGGGUAAGCUGUGGAUUUUUUUUGCUUCAGUCUCUGCGACUAAGUAAAGUUAUCAACAUUUCCGUUUCAUAUUUGAUCCUUUUCAAGCUCCAUUGCUCUGGUGGAAAUGGCACACACUCCUCGCUGCAUUAUGUAUCGUAUUUGUGAGGACUAUCUUUGUCCAGUUGGGUUUGUUUGCAAUUAUGCGGGCACUCGGCACAAUACACAUCUUCAGUCAUACUGCAAAUUCUCACUUAUUUGGCUUACUUGGUUAGUGUUUAAUGAUUCAUUUGGUUGUCAUGGCAGGAGGCAUUGUCGCUGCUCAAGAUCCUUCAGUGGUAACAAGAUUUAUCCAACUUCCUUACACACCACUAUUAGUUAUUACACGUCAGCAGUAACACAUAGGACACAAAUGCUAAAAUGCAAGAAAGCUCUGCGGCAAUUACAUGGUGUACUGAGAUGUGAUUCAUUUGAUAAGAUAAAGCACUUCCUGACACUGUUAGUUCUUAACAAUUUUAAGUGCUACAUUAGCCUCUCUAGGGGUUCAUACAACGAAGACAUAAAUCUUCUAUUUCAUCAGUCGGUCGGUCAUCUCUUCCACUGUAGUAUUGCCGAGACGCUCAACUCUGAUGAUUUAUGUAUAAUAAAGCAUUUAUUUUCCUUA